rnacentral:rRNA from 1 species
GAAUUUUGGACAAUGGGCGAAAGCCUGAUCCAGCAAUGCCGCGUGCAGGAUGAAGGCCUUCGGGCUGUACACUGCUUUUGUACGGAACGAAAAGCUUUGGGUUAAUACCCUGGAGUCAUGACGGUACACUAAGAAUAAGCACUGCCUAACUACGUGCCAGCUGCUGCGGUACUACGUAGGGUGCAAACGUUAAUCGGAAUUACAGGGCUUAAAGCGUGCGCAGGCGGUUUUGUAAGACAGAGGUGAAAUCCCCGGGCUCAACCUGGGAACUGCCUUUGUGACUGCAAGGCUAGAGUACGGCAGAGGGGGGUGGAAUUCCGCGUGUAGCAGUGAAAUGCGUAGAUAUGCGGAGGAACACCGAUGGCGAAGGCAACCCCCUGGGCCUGUACUGACGCUCAUGCACGAAAGCGUGGGGAGCAAACA